rnacentral:rRNA from 1 species
GUGUCAGCAGCCGCGGUAAUACAUAGGGAGCAAGCGUUAUCCGGAAUGAUUGGGCGUAAAGCGUCUGUAGGUGGUUCAAAAAGUCUAUUGUCAAAUACGUUGGCUUAACCAACGGCAGGCAUUAGAGUACUGUUGGACUAGAGUUCGGUAGAGGUAGAGGGAAUCCCUAGCGUAACAGUGAAAUGUGUAGAUUUUAGGGAGAACACCAGCGGCGAAGGCGCUCUACUGGGCCGUAACUGACACUGAGAGACGAAAGCUAGAGGAGCGAAAAGGAUUAGAUACCCUUGUAGUCC